rfam:Planococcus sp. PAMC 21323, complete genome.
AUGUGCAAGCAGGAGCACCCGCUUCUCACCUGAUCGACCGAUUGUUGGCAGGUAUACACGAUUGACUUUUACACGCAGAAAGACGCGUGUUGUCAUAUUUGCGGGUGAACCUCUCUGGUUCACCCGCUUUUGUUUUGAUCG